CAGGUGCAGAGCCCUACACCUGUCCUUGUGGCAGACAGUGUCAAACAUCUCGCUGAAGUCAAGGUACACAACAUCCACCCUCUCCACGCAACUACCCAGCUGGUUAUGAUGUCAUAGAAGGCUACAAGGCUGGAUAUCAACUUUCUGCAGCAAAAGCUGAGGGGAUUGUUGUGCACUUCCCAUUGGGCACCUUGCAGUGGCAGAGAGGUCCAAAAUUCCCAUGAGUUUUUAUUUUUCCUCUGUUUCUGAAGUUUUUCGGGGGUACCUACCCUAAUGGUUAGCUAACCCAGCAAUGCCAACACAAUCUGCUCUCUUUUCCAAUCUUCUACCCCAUGUCAAAUGUAAGAUGUGCCUUUGUCAAGCUGGACACAGCUGGAUGCCAGCCCUCGUGUUUUCUCCCUGAUUUUCUCCCAGCUCCCUCCUCUCAGCCAUUGGAAGGAGGAAGCCACCUCAUACCUUGAUUAAGAGCCACGCAGUUGCUGAGCAUCUCCAUAUCCCUGCCUUGUCCUACAUGUGGUUUUUGUUUUGUUACAGCAGCACUGAUGGAGCACGGGAAUUGCAUAAUUUUGGAAAGAAUGAAAUGGCCGAAAUUCAGUGCUGAUGUCAUUUAACAGCUCCCAUUCAGCAAAGCCAUUGAAAACCGUCCAAAUUCCUCGGAACUCACCUGAAUCUGUCAAGAAGAUCUUCUCUUGUGGAAGUGAAAAGACAACACAGCUCCUAUGACUUUGGGCCAGAAAGAGGAUUUUACUCACCAGCACUGGCAUGCUCUGAAAGACCUGUCACCAGGUGGUUUAGCAAGGAACAACAUCUGCAGUUAAGACUGGGUGUGCCAAGCAGGCCCUGCCAACCUGUAGCAGCCGAGGAACUUAUUCAGAGCUCUUGAGGACCACUCAAUUAUCACUAAUUAACAAGCUUAAAGAGCUAUUUACUUGUCCUGCCAGCUCCACCUCAUUAAGAUGCUCUAUUGUCCCAGCUGACACUGCAGAAACCAUGCCUCUGAGAGAACUCCUGCAAAGUCAAAUCUUCUGUUCUGGCAGCAUGGAAAAUAAAAAACAUCUGCUGGAUGUUUGAAGGUGCUGUGUAUCACCUCAGUCUAGGUGUGAUGGCAAUCAAUAUUUAAAAAAAUAAAACACACCUAUCUUUAUUCA
rnacentral:lncRNA from 1 species